GCGGGUAUGGUGAAAUGGUAUCAUGAGAGCCUUCCAAGCUCCAGGUGCGGGUUCGAUUCCCGCUACCCGCU
rnacentral:tRNA from 1 species